AAAUGUAAUUUUUUGUGACUAAUUGUUAUCUCUCUGAUGUUUGAAGUGAAAUUGGUGUAAGCUAUUGAUAUGAAAUCCUGGAGAUGUUGAUCAGUAAGUCGAGACCGUUUAUUUUU